GGACUACUGGGGUAUCUAAUCCUGUUUGCUCCCCACGCUUUCGAGUCUCAGCGUCAGUAUUCGUCCAGUUGGCCGCCUUCGCCACCGGUGUUCCUCUCGAUAUCUACGAAUUUCACCUCUACACCGAGAAUUCCACCAACCUCUCCGAUACUCUAGCUUGACAGUAUCGAGUGCACUUCCCGGGUUGAGCCCGGGGCUUUCACAUCCGACUUAUCAAACCGCCUACACUCGCUUUACGCCCAGUAAUUCCGAACAACGUUUGCACCCUCUGUCUUACCGCGGCUGCUGGCAC
rnacentral:rRNA from 1 species